GGGUUGUGAGGUUAAGCGACUAAGCGUACACGGUGGAUGCCCUGGCAGUCAGAGGCGAUGAAGGACGUGCUAAUCUGCGAUAAGCGCCGGUAAGGUGAUAUGAACCGUUAUAACCGGCGAUUUCCGAAUGGGGAAACCCAGUGUGACUCGUCACACUAUCAUUAACUGAAUCCAUAGGUUAAUGAGGCGAACCGGGGGAACUGAAACAUCUAAGUACCCGAGGAAAAGAAAUCAACCGAGAUUCCCCCAGUAGCGGCGAGCGAACGGGGAGGAGCCCAGAGCCUGAAUCAGCAUGUGUGUUAGUGGAAGCGUCUGGAAAGGCGCGCGAUACAGGGUGACAGCCCCGUACACAAAAGCGCAUGUGCUGUGAGCUCGAUGAGUAGGGCGGGACACGUGGUAUCCUGUCUGAAUAUGGGGGGACCAUCCUCCAAGGCUAAAUACUCCUGACUGACCGAUAGUGAACCAGUACCGUGAGGGAAAGGCGAAAAGAACCCCGGCGAGGGGAGUGAAAAAGAACCUGAAACCGUGUACGUACAAGCAGUGGGAGCACAGGUUUACCUGUGUGACUGCGUACCUUUUGUAUAAUGGGUCAGCGACUUAUAUUCUGUAGCAAGGUUAACCGAAUAGGGGAGCCGGAGGGAAACCGAGUCUUAAUUGGGCGUUAAGUUGCAGGGUAUAGACCCGAAACCCGGUGAUCUAGCCAUGGGCAGGUUGAAGGUUGGGUAACACUAACUGGAGGACCGAACCGACUAAUGUUGAAAAAUUAGCGGAUGACCUGUGGCUGGGGGUGAAAGGCCAAUCAAACCGGGAGAUAGCUGGUUCUCCCCGAAAGCUAUUUAGGUAGCGCCUCGUGAAUUCAUCUCCGGGGGUAGAGCACUGUUUCGGCUAGGGGGCCAUCCCGGCUUACCAACCCGAUGCAAACUGCGAAUACCGGAGAAUGUUAUCACGGGAGACACACGGCGGGUGCUAACGUCCGUCGUGAAGAGGGAAACAACCCAGACCGCCAGCUAAGGUCCCAAAGUCAUGGUUAAGUGGGAAACGAUGUGGGAAGGCCCAGACAGCCAGGAUGUUGGCUUAGAAGCAGCCAUCAUUUAAAGAAAGCGUAAUAGCUCACUGGUCGAGUCGGCCUGCGCGGAAGAUGUAACGGGGCUAAACCAUGCACCGAAGCUGCGGCAGCGACACUGUGUGUUGUUGGGUAGGGGAGCGUUCUGUAAGCCUGCGAAGGUGGCCUGUGAGGGUUGCUGGAGGUAUCAGAAGUGCGAAUGCUGACAUAAGUAACGAUAAAGCGGGUGAAAAGCCCGCUCGCCGGAAGACCAAGGGUUCCUGUCCAACGUUAAUCGGGGCAGGGUGAGUCGACCCCUAAGGCGAGGCCGAAAGGCGUAGUCGAUGGGAAACGGGUUAAUAUUCCCGUACUUGGUGUUACUGCGAAGGGGGGACGGAGAAGGCUAUGUUGGCCGGGCGACGGUUGUCCCGGUUUAAGCGUGUAGGUGUGUGUUCCAGGUAAAUCCGGUUCACUUUAACACUGAGGCGUGACGACGAGGCACUACGGUGCUGAAGCAACAAAUGCCCUGCUUCCAGGAAAAGCCUCUAAGCAUCAGGUAACAUCAAAUCGUACCCCAAACCGACACAGGUGGUCAGGUAGAGAAUACCAAGGCGCUUGAGAGAACUCGGGUGAAGGAACUAGGCAAAAUGGUGCCGUAACUUCGGGAGAAGGCACGCUGACACGUAGGUGAAGUGAUUUACUCAUGGAGCUGAAGUCAGUCGAAGAUACCAGCUGGCUGCAACUGUUUAUUAAAAACACAGCACUGUGCAAACACGAAAGUGGACGUAUACGGUGUGACGCCUGCCCGGUGCCGGAAGGUUAAUUGAUGGGGUCAGCGCAAGCGAAGCUCCUGAUCGAAGCCCCGGUAAACGGCGGCCGUAACUAUAACGGUCCUAAGGUAGCGAAAUUCCUUGUCGGGUAAGUUCCGACCUGCACGAAUGGCGUAAUGAUGGCCAGGCUGUCUCCACCCGAGACUCAGUGAAAUUGAACUCGCUGUGAAGAUGCAGUGUACCCGCGGCAAGACGGAAAGACCCCGUGAACCUUUACUAUAGCUUGACACUGAACAUUGAGCCUUGAUGUGUAGGAUAGGUGGGAGGCUUUGAAGCGUGGACGCCAGUCUGCGUGGAGCCAACCUUGAAAUACCACCCUUUAAUGUUUGAUGUUCUAACGUGGACCCGUAAUCCGGGUUGCGGACAGUGUCUGGUGGGUAGUUUGACUGGGGCGGUCUCCUCCUAAAGAGUAACGGAGGAGCACGAAGGUUGGCUAAUCCUGGUCGGACAUCAGGAGGUUAGUGCAAUGGCAUAAGCCAGCUUGACUGCGAGCGUGACGGCGCGAGCAGGUGCGAAAGCAGGUCAUAGUGAUCCGGUGGUUCUGAAUGGAAGGGCCAUCGCUCAACGGAUAAAAGGUACUCCGGGGAUAACAGGCUGAUACCGCCCAAGAGUUCAUAUCGACGGCGGUGUUUGGCACCUCGAUGUCGGCUCAUCACAUCCUGGGGCUGAAGUAGGUCCCAAGGGUAUGGCUGUUCGCCAUUUAAAGUGGUACGCGAGCUGGGUUUAGAACGUCGUGAGACAGUUCGGUCCCUAUCUGCCGUGGGCGCUGGAGAACUGAGGGGGGCUGCUCCUAGUACGAGAGGACCGGAGUGGACGCAUCACUGGUGUUCGGGUUGUCAUGCCAAUGGCACUGCCCGGUAGCUAAAUGCGGAAGAGAUAAGUGCUGAAAGCAUCUAAGCACGAAACUUGCCCCGAGAUGAGUUCUCCCUGAGACUUAAAGUCUCCUGAAGGAACGUUGAAGACGACGACGUUGAUAGGCCGGGUGUGUAAGCGCAGCGAUGCGUUGAGCUAACCGGUACUAAUGAACCGUGAGGCUUAACCUUACAACGCCGAAG
rnacentral:rRNA from 1 species